GCAGACACAUUCCAGCCAAUCAGCAACAGACCCUCACUCCCAGACCCUCCCACCUCCUGGACAGCAUCCAUUUUACAUUCAUUGUGAAGCUGCAUUCUUAGUGAGCUGUCCAGGAGGUGGGAGGGUCUGGGAGGGAGGGUCUGCUGCUGAUUGGCUGGAAUCUGUCUG
rnacentral:miRNA from 1 species